ACUGAGUGGCGGACGGGUGAGUAACGGCGUGGGUAACCCUGGCCUACGGUACAGGGGGACAACAAGUUGGAAACGGCUGCUAAUACCGCAUAAGCGCAACAGUACCGCAUGGUACAGUAGUGAAAAAACUCCGGUGGUACGAGAUGGACCCGCGUCUGAUUAGCUAGUUGGUGAGGUAACGGCCCACCAAGGCGACGAUCAGUAGCCGAUCUGAGAGGAUGAACGGCCACAUUGGGACUGAGACACGGCCCAGACUCCUACGGGAGGCAGCAGUGGGGAAUAUUGCACAAUGGGCGAAAGCCUGAUGCAGCGAACGCCGCGUGAGCGAUGAAGUAUUUCGGUAUGUAAAGCUCUAUCAGCAGGGAAGAAAAAUGACGGUACCUGACUAAGAAGCACCGGCUAAAUACGUGCCAGCAGCAGC
rnacentral:rRNA from 1 species